rnacentral:tRNA from 1 species
CUUGGAAUGGCGCAGUCUGGUAGCGCAUCGGCUUUGGGUGCCGAGGGUCGGAGGUUCGAAUCCUCUUUCCAAGACCA